AUGGUGAAACUGCCGAAAGUGAACCCGGACCCUCGGCAGAGGAGGCGCAGGGACCCCCCGGGGGCCUGGAGGUCCCCCCCGGACUCCAGCAGGGUCACAGUGCACUCCCAUCUCCAAACCUUCUCUGGGCUCCGGGCGGCCGUGACCCUGCUGGAGUCCGGGGGGGACCUCCAGCCCCCCGGGGGGUCCCUGCGCCUCCUCUGCCGAGGGUCCGGGUUUGAUUUCGGGAAAGUGAACAUGUACUGGGUCCGCCAGAGACCCGGGCAGGGGCUGGACUUCGUGGCAGAGAUCAGCUAUGAUGGUUCCAGAACCUUCUACCCACCAUUGUUCAAGGGUCGGUUCACGAUCUCCAGGGACAACGGGCAGAGCUCGGUGACGCUGAUCAUGAACAACCUCAAGGACGAGGAUUCCGGAUCCUAUUUCUGUGCCAGAUCCCUGGGCCAACGUUGA